GCUAGCAAUGCACGCCUGUGGUUCAGCCGGCUAGUCCUGUGCGUCGUCGUGUGGCGGAUCCGAACGGACCGUUCGCGGCGACGGCGCUGGGCGAGCUGUGGUGCACUCCAUGGGCAUGCGCGUCAGCGUCGGUUCUUAGCGAGUGAUGAGGUGCCGGGGGAAGGUGGCUCGCCUUUUCGGAGGGGAGUGUUAUAGACCCUGGUGCUGGGCUCGUUGUGGACCGAGGAGAGAGAUGAUCGCUGCGGCACCUGCCUCUCGGGGCUAGCCAGCUGUUGUCAGAUGUGUGUCAGGCGUUGAGGACUGCACGCAGUGCUUGGUGUCUUGGCGUGGUCUGGUGAUGGUGUGGGGUAUAGAGGUGCCUAGGACGCUGGCGUCCAAAUGGCCGUGCGCGACCCGUCUUGAAACACGGACCAAGGAGUCUAACAUGUGCGCGAGUCUUAGGGUGUGCAAGCCCUCGGGCAUAAUGAAAGUGAAAGCCUAGCGUUGGUUGGGCUUAGGUGAGAGCCGCUGCUGGCCUGAUGCCACGGCGGCGCAUCAUCGGCCGGUCCAUCCUGCUCUCAGGAGGAUCCGAGCAAGAGCGUAUUUGUUGGGACCCGAAAGAUGGUGAACUAUGCCUGAAUAGGGUGAAGCCAGAGGAAACUCUGGUGGAGGCUCGUAGGGAUUCUAACGUGCAAAUUGAUCUCAAAAUUUGGGUAUAGGGGCGAAAGACUAAUCGAACCAUCUAGUAGCUGGUUCCCUCCGAAGUUUCCCUCAGGAUAGCUGGAGCUCGUUAACACAGUUUUAUCAGGUAAAGCGAAUGAUUAGAGGUCUUGGGGGUGAAACACUCUCAACCUAUUCUCAAACUUUAAAUCGGUAAGAAGCGCGACUUGCUUAAUUGAAGCCGCGCAAUCAAUGUGAGCUCCAAGUGGGCCAUUUUUGGUAAGCAGAACUGGCGAUGCGGGAUGAACCGAACGCUCGG
rnacentral:rRNA from 1 species